rnacentral:rRNA from 1 species
UACGUAGGGGGCAAGCGUUGUCCGGACUUACUGGGCGUAAAGCGUGCGCAGGCGGUUGUGUAAGACAGAUGUGAAAUCCCCGGGCUCAACCUGGGAACUGCAUUUGUGACUGCACAGCUGGAGUGCGGCAGAGGGGGAUGGAAUUCCGCGUGUAGCAGUGAAAUGCGUAGAUAUGCGGAGGAACACCGAUGGCGAAGGCAAUCCCCUGGGCCUGCACUGACGCUCAUGCACGAAAGCGUGGGGAGCAAACAGG